GCCCUAGUGGUGUAGUGGUAUCACGCACCACAAGAAAGGGUGAAACGAGGGUUCAACCCCCGUCUAAGGUC